UUCGGCCCCUAAGGCGAGGCAGAAAUGCGUAGUCGAUGGGAAACAGGUCAAUAUUCCUGUACCGAUUCUAGAUGCGAUGUGGGGACGGAGAAGGUUAGGUCAGCCAUCUGUUGGAAUAGGUGGUUCAAGCGUGUAGGCGUGCCCCUUAGGCAAAUCCGGGGGGCUAAGCUGAGGCGUGAUAACGAGGUGCUACGGCACUGAAGUGACUGAUACCAAGCUUCCAGGAAAAGCCACUAAGCUUCAGUCUAGAAUUGACCGUACCGCAAACCGACACAGGUGGGCAGGAUGAAAAUUCUAAGGCGCUUGAGAGAACUCAGGAGAAGGAACUCGGCGAAUUAACACCGUAACUUCGGGAGAAGGUGUGCCCCGGUAGGUUGUAGAGCCUCGCGCUCGAAGGCCGAUGGGGUUGCGGUGAAAUGGUGGCUGCGACUGUUUAAUAAAAACACAGCUCUCUGCAAACACGAAAGUGGACGUAUAGGGAGUGACGCCUGCCCGGUGCCGGAAGGUUAAUUGAUGGGGUGCAAGCUCUUGAUCGAAGCCCCGGUAAACGGCGGCCGUAACGAUAACGGUCCUAAGGUAGCGAAAUUCCUUGUCGGGUAAGUUCCGACCUGCACGAAUGGCGUAACGAUGGCCACACUGUCUCCUCCUGAGACUCAGCGAAGUUGAAAUGUUUGUGAAGAUGCAAUCUCCCCGCGGCAAGACGGAAAGACCCCAUGAACCUUUACUGUAGCUUUGCAUUGGACUUUGAACCGGUCUGUGUAGGAUAGGUGGGAGACUAUGAAACCGGGACGCUAGUCUCGGUGGAGUCAACCUUGAAAUACCACCCUGGUUUGUUUGAGGUUCUAACCUUGAUCCGUGAAUCCGGAUCGGGGACCGUGCAUGGUGGGCAGUUUGACUGGGGCGGUCUCCUCCCAAAAGGUAACGGAGGAGUACGAAGGUACGCUUAGGGCGGUCGGACAUCGCCCAUAAAGUGCAAUGGCAAAAGCGUGCUUGACUGCGAGACCCACAAGUCGAGCAGGUGCGAAAGCAGGUCAUAGUGAUCCGGUGGUUCUGUAUGGAAGGGCCAUCGCUCAACGGAUAAAAGGUACUCUGGGGAUAACAGGCUUAUACCGCCCAAGAGUUCAUAUCGACGGCGGUGUUUGGCACCUCGAUGUCGGCUCAUCUCAUCCUGGGGCUGUAGCCGGUCCCAAGGGUAUGGCUGUUCGCCAUUUAAAGAGGUACGUGAGCUGGGUUUAAAACGUCGUGAGACAGUUUGGUCCCUAUCUGCCGUGGGCGCUGGAAAUUUGAAGGGGGCUGCUCCUAGCACGAGAGGACCGGAGUGGACGAACCUCUGGUGUACCGGUUAUGACGCCAGUCGUAUCGCCGGGUAGCUAUGUUCGGAAGAGAUAAACGCUGAAAGCAUCUAAGCGUGAAACUCGCCUUAAGAUAAGAUUUCCCGGAGUCUUGAACUCCUUAAAGGGUCGUCGAAGACCACGACGUUGAUAGGUCAGGUGUGGAAGCGCAGUAAUGCGUUAAGCUAACUGAUACUAAUUGCCCGUACGGCUUGCU
rnacentral:rRNA from 1 species